rnacentral:rRNA from 1 species
UACGUAGGGACCAAGCGUUGUCCGGAAUCAUUGGGCGUAAAGAGCGUGUAGGCGGCUUGUUAAGUCUUGCGUGAAAUCUCGGGGCUCAACCCCGAGCGGUCGUGAGAAACUGGCAGGCUAGAGUGCGGGAGAGGAGAGUGGAAUUCCUGGUGUAGCGGUGAAAUGCGCAGAUAUCAGGAGGAACACCAGUGGCGAAGGCGGCUCUCUGGACCUCUGCUGACGCUGAGGCGCGAAAGCGUGGGGAGCGAUCCGG